GAUGAACGCUGACAGAAUGCUUAACACACGCAAGUCGACUCGAGUCUUCGGACUUGGGUGGCGCACGGGUGAGUAACGCGUAAAGAACUUGCCUCUUAGACCGGGACAACAUCUGGAAACGGAUGCUAAUACCGGAUAUUAUGGUUUUUUCGCAUGGAGGAAUCAUGAAAGCUGGAUGCGCUAAGAGAGAGCUUUGCGUCCCAUUAGCUAGUUGGUGAGGUAACGGCCCACCAAGGCAAUGAUGGGUAGCCGGCCUGAGAGGGUGAACGGCCACAAGGGGACUGAGACACGGCCCUUACUCCUACGGGAGGCAGCAGUGGGGAAUAUUGGACAAUGGACCGCAAGUCUGAUCCAGCAAUUCUGCGUGCACGAUGACGUUUUUCGGAAUGUAAAGUGCUUUCAGUCGGGAAGAAGUCAGUGACGGUACCGACAGAAGAAGCGACGGCUAAAUACGUGCCAGCAGCCGCGGUAAUACGUAUGUCGCAAGCGUUAUCCGGAUUUAUUGGGCGUAAAGCGCGUCUAGGCGGCAAGGAAAGUCUGAUGUGAAAAUGCGGAGCUCAACUCCGUAUGGCGUUGGAAACUGCCUUACUAGAGUACUGGAGAGGUAGGCGGAACUACAAGUGUAGAGGUGAAAUUCGUAGAUAUUUGUAGGAAUGCCGAUGGGGAAGCCAGCCUACUGGACAGAUACUGACGCUAAAG
rnacentral:rRNA from 1 species